rnacentral:rRNA from 1 species
GAUGAACGCUGGCGGCGUGCUUAACACAUGCAAGUCGAACGGAAAGGCCCAAGCUUGCUUGGGUACUCGAGUGGCGAACGGGUGAGUAACACGUGGGUGAUCUGCCCUGCACUUCGGGAUAAGCCUGGGAAACUGGGUCUAAUACCGGAUAGGACCACUUCUUGGAUGUUGUGGCGGAAAGUUUUUUCGGUGUGGGAUGAGCUCGCGGCCUAUCAGCUUGUUGGUGGGGUAAUGGCCUACCAAGGCGUCGACGGGUAGCCGGCCUGAGAGGGUGUACGGCCACAUUGGGACUGAGAUACGGCCCAGACUCCUACGGGAGGCAGCGGUGGGGAAUAUUGCACAAUGGGCGCAAGCCUGAUGCAGCGACGCCGCGUGGGGGAUGACGGCCUUCGGGUUGUAAACUCCUUUCGCUAGGGACGAAGCGUUUUGUGACGGUACCUGGAGAAGAAGCACCGGCUAACUACGUG